rnacentral:rRNA from 1 species
AUAAACGGCYGUUAUAACAUUAAAGKAGCGUAAUAAUUUGUUCCUUCAUUGGGGACUUGUAUGAAAGGCAGAACGGAAAUUUACUGUUUCUUUCGAAUUCUAAAAAAUUUCUAUUUAAGUGAAAAAGCUUAAAUUCACUAAAAGGACGAGAAGACCCUAUAGAAUUUAAUAGCAUAAGGUUUUUUAUAAAUUUAUCUAUUUUGUUGGGGCAACAGGGGAGAAAAAACUCCAAGUCUAUACAAUUUAAUAAUCAUAAAUAAAAUUUAUUGAUCCUAAAAUAGAACAAAGAAAAAUUACUUAGGGAUAACAGCGUAAUUGCUCCCAGAGAGA